AUAUAAUGAAUGGCUCCUUCUCCCCUACCCAUAGCAUAUUGGAGUUGUGAAUUCUAGAAACAACUCCUAUAUGCAUGGAUUACAGGAGAGUGAGCCUUGUCAUCAU
rnacentral:pre_miRNA from 1 species